UACGUAGGGUGCAAGCGUUGUCCGGAAUUACUGGGCGUAAAGCGUGCGCAGGCGGUUUGUAAGCCAGGUGUGAAAUCCCCGGGCUUAACCUGGGAAUGGCAUUUGGGACUGCAAGGCUUGAGUGUGGCAGAGGAGACUGGAAUUCCUGGUGUAGCAGUGAAAUGCGCAGAUAUCAGGAGGAACACCGGUGGCGAAGGCGGGUCUCUGGGCCGAUACUGACGCUGAGGCGCGAAAGCGUGGGGAGCAAACAGG
rnacentral:rRNA from 1 species